rnacentral:rRNA from 1 species
AGUGAACGCUGGCGGUAGGCCUAACACAUGCAAGUCGAACGGCAGCACAGGAGAGCGUUCUCUCUGGGUGGCGAGUGGCGGACGGGUGAGGAAUACAUCGGCAUCUGCCUAGUCGUGGGGGAUAACGUAGGGAAACUUACGCUAAUACCGCAUACGACCUUCGGGUGAAAGAGGGGGAUCGCAAGACCCCUCGCGCUUGGAUGAGCCGAUGUCGGAUUAGCUAGUUGGCGGGGUAAUGGCCCACCAAGGCGACGAUCCGUAGCUGGUCUGAGAGGAUGAUCAGCCACACUGGAACUGAGACACGGUCCAGACUCCUACGGGAGGCAGCAGUGGGGAAUAUUGGACAAAGGGCGCAAGCCUGAUCCAGCCAUACCGCGUGGGUGAAGAAGGCCUUCGGGUUGUAAAGCCCUUUUGUUGGGAAAGAAAUCGUUCAGGCUAAUACCCUGGGAGGAUGACGGUACCCAAAGAAUAAGCACCGGCUAACUUCGUG